rnacentral:rRNA from 1 species
CCUACGGGCGGCAGCAGUGAGGAAUAUUGGUCAAUGGACGAGAGUCUGAACCAGCCAAGUAGCGUGAAGGAUGACUGCCCUAUGGGUUGUAAACUUCUUUUAUAUGGGAAUAAAAUGUUCCACGUGUGGGAUUUUGUAUGUACCAUAUGAAUAAGGAUCGGCUAACUCCGUGCCAGCAGCCGCGGUAAUACGGAGGAUCCGAGCGUUAUCCGGAUUUAUUGGGUUUAAAGGGAGCGUAGGUGGAUUGUUAAGUCAGUUGUGAAAGUUUUCGGCUCAACCGUAAAAUUGCAGUUGAAACUGGCAGUCUUGAGUACAGUAGAGGUGGGCGGAAUUCGUGGUGUAGCGGUGAAAUGCUUAGAUAUCACGAAGAACUCCGAUUGCGAAGGCAGUUCACUGGACUGCAACUGACACUGAGGCUCGAAAGUGUGGGUAUCAAACAGGAUUAGAUACCCUUGUAGUC